GGAGGGAUGGCCGAGUGGUUUAAGGCGGCGGUCUUGAAAACCGUUGUCCCGUGUGAGCGGGACCGUGGGUUCGAAUCCUACUCCCUCCGCCA
rnacentral:tRNA from 1 species